UACAGAGGGUGCAAGCGUUAAUCGGAAUUACUGGGCGUAAAGCGCGCGUAGGUGGCUAAGUAAGAUGGGUGUGAAAUCCCCGGGCUCAACCUGGGAACUGCAUCCAUAACUGCUUAGCUAGAGUACGGUAGAGGGUAGUGGAAUUUCCUGUGUAGCGGUGAAAUGCGUAGAUAUAGGAAGGAACACCAGUGGCGAAGGCGACUACCUGGACUGAUACUGACACUGAGGUGCGAAAGCGUGGGGAGCAAAC
rnacentral:rRNA from 1 species